rnacentral:lncRNA from 1 species
AGUUUGAUCCUCUAGUUCUGACUCCAGGACCACGCAGCACCCUCCAGGGUCGUUCACCAACCUUGGUCAGGUAACCCUGAACAUAGCCAGGUACUUCAACAUCUGCUGCCCGUGCAACUUCCUGCUGUAUAAGGGAUGGUCUAACCAGCACCUCCUGAUCAGGGGCUGCAGAUGCCACCGCGUACUUCUUCCUGCGCUUGGGUUUCACCGUGCCACGGAUAUUCGCAGGCUUGCUGCGCUUGGAGCGUAGAGUAAUGUACACCACGUUGGGCUGCAAGGUGCUUCCAUUGCCCUGCGACUCGGGAGGGGCCAGGGUACCAUCCAGGGGGAUCUCCGGGAAGGGUACCUUGAAGAUGUCGUGGCCGUCGGGUGAUCCCCUGUCAGUCGCCUGCCCAUGCUGAAAGGAACCUCUGCCCACCUGGCUCACCAGAAAGCCCAGGUAGAUGGCACAGGCAGUGCCCAGCAGGAGGUUCCGUCUGGUCCUGGGACGCCGACUACUCCAAAGUUUACACACUCGUGGGGCGCACAGGGAGCAGACAAACCAGUUUAUGAGCUGCCCCGGCUUGUCUGGACAGGUCAUUUCUCUGCCGCUUCCACAUGCUGAACUGAGUUUAAAGUCUGCAGCUGGCUCCGGGUGACAUGAUUCAUGGCUUCCUGAAUCCAGCCGUCCAGUCCGUCUCGCUAUCUAAGUGGUCUCCAACAGGCAGAGCAUUGUAUGUCUGAAUGGGUGUAGAAAACAGGAGCUCUCUAAACCUACACCUGUGGUAUAUUUAUCACUCACAGAUAUCAAAGGGAAACAAGAGAUCAAGAAGUCUGUUUGUUUCCUAAUGAGACAGAAGUUCUGGAUUUGGGUGAGAAGGGAAGCAGGGAGGAGCUGAGAACAGCAGAGGGAGGAAAAACCAUAAUCUGGACAUAUACUAUGAGGAAAAGAUCUAUUUCCAAUAAAAAGGGAAUAAAAUUUAAAUAGCUGAG